rnacentral:misc_RNA from 1 species
AAUUUUACAUUCUAUAACAGUUAAACUGUCAACAGAUUGUAUGCUGGUAAAUCUUUCACACUAUAGACAUCUUCAAGGGCAAGCUCACGUUCUAACUGCAUCCUUGUGGACUUCAAAACAUCAUUAAAUUCCAUGUAAGAAGCACGCUUUGCAAGCCAUUGAGCAUCCAUCAUUUGAAAGGCCACACAAUAGAGGCUGUCAAAUGCCAUUUCAUCUUCUGCAAGUAAUUCUACAAAUUUGAUUCCUGCUAGAGUGGAUGGCUUCCCCGUUUGAAGAUCCAACNGUUUGAAGAUCCAACAUUUGCACCAACAUAAAGGAAAUGUUUAUGCCAGCCACAGCAAAUGGAUACUCCCACUCAGCUCUGGUUCCAUCUUUCUUAUGUAACAAUCUCUGGAAUGAGUCCGGAUACUUCUUGGCAAAAAAUAUUAGAUUCUCCAAUGAUACAAAUCCACCACCCCGAAAAUCAGUUGAUGGGUCUGAACCUUGCCAGCCCAUCUCCUUCCAAAGCUCGGAUUUUAAAGCUGGAAGCUCCCUACCAGGAUAAGCCAGUCUCCACAAUUGUUUAAGUGCAUCUUGAUGCU